rnacentral:rRNA from 1 species
CCAAACCAGCCCCCUGAAUGUGCCGGAUCUAAUCUGAUCUCGGAAGCUCAGCAGGGUCGGGCCUGGUUAGUACUGGAUGGGAGUGUGAGAUAUUUCAAAGGUGAACGCUGAAGUUUAGA